rnacentral:tRNA from 1 species
UAGCUCAGUUGGUAGAGCAUGGUGUUUGCAACGCCAGGGUUGUGGGUUCCAUUCCCAU